ensembl:lncRNA
UUUCCUUUUAUUGAACCUCACCAUUUCUGGCAUCUCAACUUUCCCUACACUGUACUUCCAAUUGAGCCUGUCUUCUUUAGCCAGCAAGAGAACUAUCGGAAUCACUCUCAGCUGCUCAAGCCAGCAUCACUAGUUCCAGAAUCGUUGCUUAUAGGCCUUACAGGUAAAACUGGUCAAACAACUUGAUGAAGAAGAGCGGUUUGAGUCUGGCACCAAUGCUGUAUUGGAAAAACAAGCCUGUGACUUGUUUUUAGGUGUCUAUUUAAAAAGGAUCGGAAGUUCAGCCUAGAGUUAACAUCUGCCACCAAUCCUCUUUUUGCUGAAGAAGACUGGCCCUGAGCUAACAUGCAUGACCAUCUUCCUCUACUUUAUAUGUGAGAUGUGCCACAGCAUAGCUUGACAAGUGGUGUGUAGGUCUGCACCCAGGAUCCGAAUUGGCGAAUGCUGGGCUGCUGCAGCGGACCACGCGAACUUAACCACUGUGCCACCAGGCCAGCCUUGUCAUUUAUUUUUUCAUUGUUUUUUCAAUAUUUUAUUAUGAGAAUUUGUAAACAUACAGCGAAGUUGAAGUUUUAUGUUUUUAUGAUAAUAUUUUACAUACAUCCCCAGCAUAGAUUCUACAAUUGAUCUUUUACUGCAUUUACUUUAUCACAGACCUGUCUAUUCAUUCAGCCAUUUGUCACAUCAAUCCAUCUUUUAGGUGUGUGUAUUUCUGCCAGAUAUUUUAGAUUCUGACAAUUUUGCCCCAUAGCAUAAGAGGAAAUAAAACCAGAUUUGCUGCAAAGAAACAAAGAAAGAGAAUCAUGCUGGAUUUUAAAAUUCAAGUCUUAUAGAUGUGUGGGGAAGGGGCACAUUUAAGAAAAUAAUGGAGGGUAAAAAAAUUAGCUAGCAACUUAGGAACUAGAGGAAGUCCUUUGACAUUAUGAAGUGUGUCAAAAAGAUCACUGCAUUCCCAAAGAUUGCCAAACAAUUGCACGGAAAGAAGCUAAAGGUAAAGGAACUAUGGCCCAAGGAAUGCACGAUUUCAGGGAUCUGAAGAGAAUGGAAGAGCGUCUGCCAGUUUUGGAUGCCAGGAGCAUGUCUCCAAAAGGAUAGUAUCAGAAGAACCUGGAACUGUGUGCCCAUUUCCAGGAACGUCUCCCAAGCACAGAACAGGGAAUGCUGCGAUACCACAUUUUAAUCGUCUAUUCCCCUAAUGCAAAGAAUGAGGCAACAAAUGUCCCUUAACAUUUCUCUUUGUCUGUGAGUGUGAGCUUCUCCAAGAGAGUGGUCUUUGUGCUAGUUCUCUAGGGCUCCUGUAAGAAAGUACCACAGGCCGGAUGGCUGAAACAACUCGAAUUUAUUUCUCCCAGUUCUGGAGGCUAGAAUUUUGAGAUCAAGGUGUUGGCAGGGAUGGUUCCUUCUGAGGAUUGUGAGGGAGAGUCUGUUCCAGGCUUCCCUUGGCUUGUAGAUAGCUGUCUUCUCAUUGUGUCUCUACAUUGUCUUUCCUCUGUCUCUGUGUCCAAAUUUCCCUUUUUAUAAGAACACCAAAUGUAUUGGAUUAGGGCCCACCCUAAUGACCUUAUUUUAACUUGAUUACAUCCGGAAAGGGCCUAUCUCCAAAUUCAGUCACAUUCUGAGGUACUGGGGUUGAGACUUCAAUGCGUGAAUGUUGGAGCAGACAAAAUACAACCCGUAGUCUUCAAAUUUAUUUCUUGCAUAACCCGAAAAAGAAUUUGGAAAAACUGUGUACCCUUCACACAGUUUAAUAUUGACACUUAACAAUUUAAAUCAUAGAUUUAAACAGUUCCAAAGGAUAAAAUUUUUGUCGUGUAAAUAUUGAUGUCAAAAUUUGGCGUCAAAAUAAAACGGUUACUCUUUUAAGGGUGUCCAAAGGAAUCUAAAUACCAUAACAAUUUGAUUCAAUAAUUAUAAUCUAUUUAAAAAUGCCUGCGUAAUUUCCAAUGGAAAUUUUAUAUCUUUCCUUUUUUUGCUUUCCAUUCCAAUUCUCCCACAGAAUUUUACCUUCAUGUAACAUAUUUUAAUACCAGAAAGUCUCUUUUUUGACCACCCCAUUAUGCUUCUCUUUGACAAAACUGUGCAUGGAAAUUGAAAUUUUGAAAUAUGUUUUAUUUCUUGGGAUCAUAAGGUUGUAAGUGUUAUUUAAACUUCCUUCUAGGUUGAGUUGUUGCCAUUGUUAUUGUUAAAUGAUGAUCAAGACAAUGAAACUACUUUAUAAAAUUAUUAUUUUGUAAUUUAUUAAACAGAAAAAAUAAGAUUUUAUUGAAAAUGUUUCUCUUGCAAUGAUACAAAUGAUGUCCCUCCCUCCAAUUAGCUCACGUAUCCAUUGACGAAUGACUUAAUGUUAGAACCGUGCAGAUUCUGUGUGAAGUUUAUCCCUGCCCUCACCCCUUUAUAGAAGUAACUGCUGAGAAAACUUAUUCAUAGUAAUAAAUAAAUGGGAAUGAAAGGUGUUUAUUAUAGCAAUUUCAUCCAAUUCUUUGAGUUCUACCCAAAUUCUAUGCCAAAUAUCACCUGGAAAUUUAUUAUAAAAAUUAUUUUUAGUACUCUCUCUGCUAAAAAUUCUAUUAAAUUCUUCUUUUAGUGAAAGUUGAAAACCACCCAACACACAAAAGACCUGUUACCCAGUUAUGAGAGUGACUCAGAGCCUCAAGUUCUGGGAGGCACACCUGACUUACCAAACAGCUCUUAGUUCCCUGUGUUGCUCUUUCACUAAAGCACCUUGUUUAGAACAGGUUGGUGUCUUAGCUUGGGUUCCUCCCAAAACAAACUCUAAGAUGAGGUCUUGAGUUCAAGAAAUUUAUCUGAGAGUUGAUCCCAGAAAGAACAUCCUAAUGGGGACCUUCUGAGUAUCCCGUAGAAUGCACCUCAGAACUGUCGCACUAAAGAACAAGGACGUUGGGAAUUUAUGCACUUUCAGUCCCUGCCCUUGUACCUGGCUGAAUACCAGAGACAGCCCUCCUUGGGCAGAGAAGCAGAAAGACUUGGGCCCUUACCACUAGAAGGUGCAGUGAACUCAGAGGUGGGCCCUUAGGAUAUACAGCGGGACAUCAAAAAUAUCUGUAGUAGGUGAAAUAUAGAAACAUUGUUAAUUUACUGAUAAAAAUAUUUAUCUUAUCAUAUUUUAAAAUAUAUUUUCAUCAAAACCUGAAGCUGCAGAUGUAUUUCAUUUAAUUCAUAAAAAGUCUCCUCCCUAUAUUGACAAAAUGAAUAUACUUUGUUAAAUCUAUCAGUUUAACAUCAUUUUUAAUUCAAAUAAAUGUUAUUAGAAUUCAAAAAUCUUAAGUAUUCUUUGAAUUUAAUAUUGAGUAAAUAUCAACUACUACUAAAACUACUGAAAAUAAAUUUCAGAAUGCAUAUUGUAAAGAGAUUUAUACGAUGUGGAUGUAAUAUAAUUAAUUUAUUCACUUAAUAAUGUUAUGCAAAUAAGAAAAUAAAUUGAGGUGUUGUUUCUUGUUAUUUAAUUUAUAAUAAUGUAACACACUAUUUUGCUAAAAUUGUAAAUUACUUUUGAAGUGAGGCAUAUGAUAAAAAGCACCGUAUUUCUUUGGUGAAUGUAUUUGUGUGCAUGUAUUCUGCUAUGAGGAACAAUUAAAUUAGAACCAAGUAUAGA